CAGUGGGGAAUAUUGGACAAUGGGCGCAAGCCUGAUCCAGCCAUGCCGCGUGAGUGAUGAAGGCCUUAGGGUUGUAAAGCUCUUUCAGUGGGGAAGAUAAUGACGGUACCCACAGAAGAAGCCCCGGCUAACUUCGUGCCAGCAGCCGCGGUAAUACGAAGGGGGCUAGCGUUGUUCGGAUUUACUGGGCGUAAAGCGCACGUAGGCGGAUUGGUCAGUUAGGGGUGAAAUCCUGGAGCUCAACUCCAGAACUGCCUUUAAUACUGCCAGUCUCGAGUCCGGAAGAGGUAAGUGGAACUCCUAGUGUAGAGGUGGAAUUCGUAGAUAUUAGGAAGAACACCAGUGGCGAAGGCGGCUUACUGGUCCGGUACUGACGCUGAGGUGCGAAAGCGUGGGGAGCAAACAGGAUUAGA
rnacentral:rRNA from 1 species